UUCUCUAUCAUGUUCUAUAUCUAGUGAACGACCUUGUUGUCCGCUGUAAAGAAAAUAAGAUCCAACUGUUCCAACCUAUUACUACUGGUUCAGCCUGUAACCAGAUUGGGGAGUUUAAAGGAUCUGGGUUGAAUUUUACAAACCUCGUUGCUCAUCGAGACUUAGUGUACACUGGAGAUACAGGGGGUACCCUGUACAUACUUAAACCUGUAAACUAAUACAGGGUGUAUCCUGUACAUAUUUAAACUUGUAAACUAAUACAGGGUGUAUCCUGUACAUAAUAACUUUAAUUUGAUUGCAAAUCUUUUAAUUAAAAUGAUUCAAAUUUU